CCUACGGGAGGCAGCAGUGGGGAAUUUUGGACAAUGGGCGCAAGCCUGAUCCAGCCAUUCCGCGUGCAGGAUGAAGGCCUUCGGGUUGUAAACUGCUUUUGUACGGAACGAAAAGGCUCUGGCUAAUACCUGGGGCUCAUGACGGUACCGUAAGAAUAAGCACCGGCUAACUACGUGCCAGCGGCCGCGGUAAUACGUAGGGUGCGAGCGUUAAUCGGAAUUACUGGGCGUAAAGCGUGCGCAGGCGGUUAUGUAAGACAGAGGUGAAAUCCCCGGGCUCAACCGGGGAACUGCCUUUGUGACUGCAAGACUAGAGUACGGCAGAGGGGGAUGGAAUUCCGCGUGUAGCAGUGAAAUGCGUAGAUAUGCGGAGGAACACCGAGGGCGAAGGCAAUCCCCGGGGCCUGAACUGACGCU
rnacentral:rRNA from 1 species